AUUAUCAUUAUUUUACUCAUAUAUUUGGUUAAAUGCCUAAACUGGAAUUGCAGUUGUUUUGUUCUUUCUUAAAGAAACAAAUUUCAUUUGCAAGUGUGGUCUUGUUAUGUACUCAAACACAAGAACACAACACAAAAUAAAAAGAUAACUAUGUUGCAAUAUCAAUAGAGAAACUGCAGUAUCAAUAGCCUUUUGAGAGAGCUAUCUCUCUCUCAAGUCUCACAAUGGACACGCUCACCAAAAUGAUCUCCUUCUAAGUAUUCUCACAUUACUCUGCCCUUCAAACACUAUCGGAUAAAGCUUGCUUGAAAUCAGUGUAUGUACAAGACAAUCCCAAAAUUGGGUAACAUUUUUUUUCAUUGCAUACACAUACCCUAACCCCAUUCUUAUGGAUAGAAUCACACCAAGACGGGUUGGGUUCAGGGUUUAACAUAUGGAACAACCUGGCCCAAAAUACACUUGCAUACUUCUCAUUCAAAAUUACGCCUCUUCAUGCAAAUCCAGCCCAUAAACCAAACUAGGGUUGAUGCUGCAACCUUUUCCAAUUGCUGACCCCACCACCUAACACUUCUUUUGCGUUAAUUUCUCGAGGUUGUAAAUGAGGUAUUAUUCAAAUGAAGAUUGGUUCAAGAUUCAGUCUUACAUUAUUAGGAUGAUUUAAUAUUCUUUGAGUUUUCUUGACAACCAAAUAUAGUAGGAUUAAGCCAUUUUCGUGAUAUGCAAAAGUUGGCCCGGAUAUUCACGGGUACCAGAAGAAGUUCCACACUAUACUAUACAUUCCUAGGCUUCCAAAACGUGCACUAUCAGUAUAAUUUUCCUGAAUACAGGCUUCUUAAACCUAGAUUUCCAUAACUAGAAUCUCUACAGUUUUCCUAAACCAUAGCUCAAGAUUGCUGAAUCAGCACCCUAAAUGUAGGUUUCCUAAACCAAGGCAUCUUCAACCCAGCGCUUAAAAGGCUUAGACAUGAACCCAAGUUUAAGAUGUCAAACCUGCGCCCCUACCCAGGUUUGCAGGCCUGUCUCCCAGGGCCCAUCAAAUUUAUAGUCAGGCCAGCAUUCUCCAUUUCAAACUUAUAUUUAUAUUUAGACGCCAUGAUUUCUUGCCCAGUGGUGAUUUGACUGUACUAGAAUGCAUUGGCAACGUGAUAUAUUGCCCUUCUCUAGUGAGGAAAAAAAGGGUACGGGGUGCAGUAUGAGGCAUUCUGAAAAUGGAAAUUGUAGGGAAAUUGAGUAAAAGAUUGUUUGGAUUAGGGAUUGUAAUCUUUUGACAGGAAACAAAAAUUGUGCUGAUGAAAACAGGAAAAAUAAAAAUAAAAAUGCUGAAACCUUGUGAUUUUUCCUUGUGUUUAUCCUUUUUUUUUUAUGAACUAGAAAAACUUUUCAUAUUAUCAAUUAAAAGGAAAUGUUCAGGCAACAAACUCCCACGGAAGAGAUGGGAAGGGGAAGAGG